CGCCCGCGGGGCUGCAGCUCCCGGCUCGCACUCCAUCAUCGACGGAUGACAGCGGGAACGGUGGGAGUUCAUUACAGGGACCAUGAAUUGUUGGAGAGGAAUCUGAAGAAACAUGCUGGAUGUCCCUGGAGGAGGAGCUGAACCAUUUGAGUGGGGGCUUCACUGACUCCCCACACACAGGGCACUGGGGGAGAGCAGCCACAUGACCGGCAGGUGGGGGCUUUUGCUGCUGGUGGGAGGGGAUGAGGAGGGCACCAGUCCGGCCCUGAGACAACCCCCCAGACCAACCCUGACUAGGACACUCUGCAGGAUGUCAAGCAGUGCCCCCAAAAGCUGUCAAGGCCGUCCUAGACCAGUGGGGCCUCAGGAGAUGGUGCAGAGUCCCGGACCAGACAAACGGCACUGGGAAAGCAGGAACCCAAAGGAAGGCUGGAAUUCAGGGAAGAGCCACAUGCCAGGCUGUGACGAAGGUGACGAGAUGAAACACUGGGGGGGGUGGGGGGGGGGAGGCAUCCGAACUCUAUGUGCUGUCUUUGCACUACUCUGUAAAUCUAAAAUUAUUCAGAAGUGAAAGUUAAAAAUCA
rnacentral:lncRNA from 1 species